UACGUAGGGUGCGAGCGUUAUCCGGAAUUAUUGGGCGUAAAGCGUCCGCAGGUGGCACUUCAAGUCUGCCGUCAAAGACUGGGGCUUAACCCUGGAAAGGCGGUGGAAACUGAAGCGCUAGAGUGCGGUAGGGGUAGAGGGAAUUCCCGGUGUAGCGGUGAAAUGCGUAGAGAUCGGGAAGAACAUCGGUGGCGAAAGCGCUCUACUGGACCGCAACUGACACUGAGGGACGAAAGCUAGGGGAGCGAAUGGG
rnacentral:rRNA from 1 species